UGACGGCACCCUGUACCCCGAUCUGUGCGCCUCCACACUCUCCACCAUUCCGGAUUUGCAUUCCAAGUCCCUCCCUGAGGUCAUCUGCGCCACCAUCAAUGCCAGCGAAGCCGCCGUUAUCAAGUCCGCCAAGAACUGUACCAAAUACCUCCACCACCACAACUACACCCUCGACACCCGCCAACGCUACGCCCUCACCGACUGUCUCGAUCUCUUUUCGCAAACUCUCGACGAGCUGCUCGACGCCACCUCCGACCUCACCGCCAACCCCGGCUCCCACGUCGACCAUGUCCAGACACUGCUCUCCGCCGCCAUCACCAACCAGUAUACCUGUCUUGACGGCUUCGCCUACGUCGGCAAAGAUGGCGGGUACCGUUCGGUCAUUGAACAGCCGCUCU
rnacentral:lncRNA from 1 species